AGUGAACGCUGGCGGUAGGCCUAACACAUGCAAGUCGAACGGCAGCACAGUAAGGGCUUGCUCUUACGGGUGGCGAGUGGCGGACGGGUGAGGAAUACAUCGGAAUCUACUUUUUCGUGGGGGAUAACGUAGGGAAACUUACGCUAAUACCGCAUACGACCUACGGGUGAAAGCAGGGGAUCUUCGGACCUUGCGCGAUUGAAUGAGCCGAUGUCGGAUUAGCUAGUUGGCGGGGUAAAGGCCCACCAAGGCGACGAUCCGUAGCUGGUCUGAGAGGAUGAUCAGCCACACUGGAACUGAGACACGGUCCAGACUCCUACGGGAGGCAGCAGUGGGGAAUAUUGGACAAUGGGCGCAAGCCUGAUCCAGCCAUACCGCGUGGGUGAAGAAGGCCUUCGGGUUGUAAAGCCCUUUUGUUGGGAAAGAAAGGCAGCAGGUUAAUACCCCGCUGUUCUGACGGUACCCAAAGAAUAAGCACCGGCUAACUUCGUG
rnacentral:rRNA from 1 species